rnacentral:rRNA from 1 species
GAGUUUGAUCAUGGCUCAGAACGAACGCUGGCGGCAGGCCUAACACAUGCAAGUCGAACGCUGUAGCAAUACAAAAAAACAGACGGGUGAGUAACACGUGGGAAUCUUCCUAUCGGUACGGAAUAGCUCAGGGAAACUUGGGGUAAUACCGCAUACGCCCUUCGGGGGAAAGAUUUAUCGCCGAUAGAUGAGCCCGCGUCUGAUUAGCUAGUUGGUGAGGUAACGGCUCACCAAGGCGACGAUCCAGUAGCUGGUCUGAGAGGAUGAUCAGCCACACUGGGACUGAGACACGGCCCAGACUCCUACGGGAGGCAGCAGUGGGGAAUAUUGGACAAUGGGCGCAAGCCUGAUCCAGCCAUGCCGCGUGAGUGACGAAGGUCUUGGGAUUGUAAAGCUCUUUUGGCGGGGACGAUAAUGAC